AGGUGUGUCCUCUUGCUAGCUCUUCUUCUGGGAUGCAGCACUAAGUCCAGAAGCCUCUCUUCUAGGGCUCCACCUAUGCAGUUCUGAGUGGCCUGGGAACAGGCAAUCCCAGAAGAAGAGAGGUAGUAUAAACAGACAGCCCAGAGCAGAACUCACUCAUUUUCUUGCUCUUGAGCUCCUGCCCUCCUGCUUCCCGACACCCCCACUGAGAGGAUAACUGAAUAGAGACACAAUGAUUGUACUUUCUGGUUGGUCUGUCUCACUGUGAUCCCAGUUGGAGCCUGAAUACUGCUAGCACUUCCAGUAAACAUUGAAAAAUAAUGGUGGAAAUUGAUAUCCUUGCUUCACUUCAGUCUUGUUUCUAACAUGUCCUCAGAAGUUACUAAGGUUUAUGGAUGACAUUGAUCAGAGGAUUUUGCUGUGCUCCCUCCCUCUGCUGGGAUUCAAGGACCUGUAACUGUUCCAGGAAGACAGUGAUCACUCCAUCAAGUCCUAAAAAAGAUAACAGAAAUUGUAGAAGGAAUGAGAAAUGAGGAAUGAGGCUCAACAUUCCAGUGCACCUUGAGGCUGCAGAAAAGAAUGACUUGUAAACAUUAAGAGCUGUCCCACAGGCUCAACACCAAUUUAAAUUCAUCUGACACAUUUUAGAGAAGAGGUUGGUAGAACAUUCUGAAUGGUACCACAGCAGAAAACUGAAGAUGCUACAAGUUUGCAGACAGCAUAGGAAAAGAAACAAAAAAUUUAAAAAUCCAUACAAGGACAUUUAAGGAUCUGGAA